UACGUAGGGGGCGAGCGUUGUCCGGAAUUAUUGGGCGUAAAGAGCGUGUAGGCGGUUCGGUAAGUCUGCCGUGAAAACCUGGAGCUCAACCCUGGGCGUGCGGUGGAUACUGCCGGGCUAGAGGGUGGUAGAGGCGAGUGGAAUUCCCGGUGUAGCGGUGAAAUGCGCAGAUAUCAGGAGGAACACCAGCGGCGAAGGCGCUGCUCUGGGCCGGUACUGACGCUGAGGAGCGAAAGCGUGGGGAGCGAACAGG
rnacentral:rRNA from 1 species